UUUUUUUUUUUUGGUCAUAGUCUUAAGAAAGGGGAAUAAAUUGAUUCAGUUUUGUUUGUUUUUGUUUUUAAAAGUCAGGUCACAUGAUUUCUGGCUCACCCAUGGAUUUUAAGAAUGAAGAUAGAGAGAUGGAAGCUCUCAAGGCAAUCCAAGGACAGGAGGAAGAGUGGGCUGGGCUCCAUGAAGCUUGGAAGCAGUGGCUACUUCUGCACCUAAAGUGGUUCUGGCCUUCGGUCAAGUGUCCACUCUCCAACCCUCUCAAAUAUGGCUGGGUAUUGAGGAAACCCCGUGCUUGAGACCAGAAACAGAACCUGCUCAUCCAGCACUUGGUAUCUAAGGACUGACAGACGUUUUGACCAGUAGGAUUUCUCCCGGAGGAGGAUAAAGGUACGCCGGUGUUUCAAUCAGGGGUCAAAUAACACAAGAAUCAGAUGCCGACUCAGGUGAGCUCAGUGAAGGAAACUCAUGGGCCCUUGUGUGGGAUGCACGCUCAGGCCUUGUGGGCCUUGGAAAGUCCUCAGGCUAUGCCUCUUUGACACUCUCUACAGUCCUGCUUCUACAAGAGCCAUC
rnacentral:lncRNA from 12 species